AAUAGAUACCCGGGUAGUCCACGCCGUAAACGAUAGAGUGCUAAGUGUUAGAGGGUUUCCGCCCUUUAGUGCUGCAGCUAACGCAUUAAGCACUCCGCCUGGGGAGUACGGCCGCAAGGCUGAAACUCAAAGGAAUUGACGGGGGCCCGCACAAGCGGUGGAGCAUGUGGUUUAAUUCGAAGCAACGCGAAGAACCUUACCAGGUCUUGACAUCCUCUGCCAACCCUAGAGAUAGGGCGUUCCCCUUCGGGGGACAGAGUGACAGGUGGUGCAUGGUUGUCGUCAGCUCGUGUCGUGAGAUGUUGGGUUAAGUCCCGCAACGAGCGCAACCCUUGAUCUUAGUUGCCAGCAUUCAGUUGGGCACUCUAAGGUGACUGCCGGUGACAAACCGGAGGAAGGUGGGGAUGACGUCAAAUCAUCAUGCCCCUUAUGACCUGGGCUACACACGUGCUACAAUGGAUGGUACAAAGAGCUGCGAACCCGCGAGGGUAAGCGAAUCUCAUAAAGCCAUUCUCAGUUCGGA
rnacentral:rRNA from 1 species